rnacentral:rRNA from 1 species
AAAGCGAAUGAUUAGAGGUCUUGGGGCUGCAACAGCCUUAGCCUAUUCUCAAAACUUUUAAAUGGGUAAGCCGGGCUGCGUUUCUUUGGUGAACGGGCCUGCGUACGAAUGACCGCGUUCCUAGUGGGCCAUUUUUGGUAAGCAGAACUGGCGAUGCGGGAUGAACCGGAAGCACGGGUAAGGUGCCAGAGUGUGCGCAAACGGACACCACAAAAGGUGUUGGUUCAUCUAGACAGCAGGGCGGUGGCCAUGAAUGUCGGCAUCCGCUAAGGAGUGUGUCAUGACUCACCUGCCGAAUGAACUAGCCCUGAAAAUGGAUGGCGCUGUAGCGUGCCACCGACACCGUGCCGACAGACGCAGCAGUGGGUUUGUCGUGUAGGAGGGCGUGGGGGCUGUUGGGCAGCGGGCGCUGCGAGGCGACGUGAAACAGCCCCUAGUGCAGCUCUAACACGGGUGGUAUACCCCAUCCAAGGCUAAAUAGGGACGAGAGACCGAUAGCGAACAAGUACCGUGAGG